CAAGUCGAGCGGAACGAGUUAUCUGAACCUUCGGGGAACGAUAACGGCGUCGAGCGGCGGACGGGUGAGUAAUGCCUAGGAAAUUGCCCUGAUGUGGGGGAUAACCAUUGGAAACGAUGGCUAAUACCGCAUAAUGCCUACGGGCCAAAGAGGGGGACCUUCGGGCCUCUCGCGUCAGGAUAUGCCUAGGUGGGAUUAGCUAGUUGGUGAGGUAAGGGCUCACCAAGGCGACGAUCCCUAGCUGGUCUGAGAGGAUGAUCAGCCACACUGGAACUGAGACACGGUCCAGACUCCUACGGGAGGCAGCAGUGGGGAAUAUUGCACAAUGGGCGCAAGCCUGAUGCAGCCAUGCCGCGUGUGUGAAGAAGGCCUUCGGGUUGUAAAGCACUUUCAGUCGUGAGGAAGGUAGUGUAGUUAAUAGCUGCAUUAUUUGACGUUAGCGACAGAAGAAGCACCGGCUAACUCCGUGCCAGCAG
rnacentral:rRNA from 1 species